rnacentral:rRNA from 1 species
CUCAGGAUGAACGCUAGCUACAGGCUUAACACAUGCAAGUCGAGGGGCAGCAUGGUCUUAGCUUGCUAAGGCCGAUGGCGACCGGCGCACGGGUGAGUAACACGUAUCCAACCUGCCGUCUACUCUUGGACAGCCUUCUGAAAGGAAGAUUAAUACAAGAUGGCAUCAUGAGUCCGCAUGUUCACAUGAUUAAAGGUAUUCCGGUAGACGAUGGGGAUGCGUUCCAUUAGAUAGUAGGCGGGGUAACGGCCCACCUAGUCUUCGAUGGAUAGGGGUUCUGAGAGGAAGGUCCCCCACAUUGGAACUGAGACACGGUCCAAACUCCUACGGGAGGCAGCAGUGAGGAAUAUUGGUCAAUGGGCGAGAGCCUGAACCAGCCAAGUAGCGUGAAGGAUGACUGCCCUAUGGGUUGUAAACUUCUUUUAUAAAGGAAUAAAGUCGGGUAUGGAUACCCGUUUGCAUGUACUUUAUGAAUAAGGAUCGGCUAACUCCGUGCCAGCAGCCGCGGUAAUACGGAGGAUCCGAGCGUUAUCCGGAUUUAUUGGGUUUAAAGGGAGCGUAGAUGGAUGUUUAAGUCAGUUGUGAAAGUUUGCGGCUCAACCGUAAAAUUGCAGUUGAUACUGGAUAUCUUGAGUGCAGUUGAGGCAGGCGGAAUUCGUGGUGUAGCGGUGAAAUGCUUAGAUAUCACGAAGAACUCCGAUUGCGAAGGCAGCCUGCUAAGCUGCAACUGACAUUGAGGCUCGAAAGUGUGGGUAUCAAACAGGAUUAGAUACCCUGGUAGUCCACACGGUAAACGAUGAAUACUCGCUGUUUGCGAUAUACUGCAAGCGGCCAAGCGAAAGCGUUAAGUAUUCCACCUGGGGAGUACGCCGGCAACGGUGAAACUCAAAGGAAUUGACGGGGGCCCGCACAAGCGGAGGAACAUGUGGUUUAAUUCGAUGAUACGCGAGGAACCUUACCCGGGCUUAAAUUGCAGAUGAAUUACGGUGAAAGCCGUAAGCCGCAAGGCAUCUGUGAAGGUGCUGCAUGGUUGUCGUCAGCUCGUGCCGUGAGGUGUCGGCUUAAGUGCCAUAACGAGCGCAACCCUUGUUGUCAGUUACUAACAGGUUCCGCUGAGGACUCUGACAAGACUGCCAUCAUAAGAUGUGAGGAAGGUGGGGAUGACGUCAAAUCAGCACGGCCCUUACGUCCGGGGCUACACACGUGUUACAAUGGGGGGUACAGAGGGCCGCUACCACGCGAGUGGAUGCCAAUCCCCAAAACCUCUCUCAGUUCGGACUGGAGUCUGCAACCCGACUCCACGAAGCUGGAUUCGCUAGUAAUCGCGCAUCAGCCACGGCGCGGUGAAUACGUUCCCGGGCCUUGUACACACCGCCCGUCAAGCCAUGGGAGCCGGGGGUACCUGAAGUGCGUAACCGCGAGGAGCGCCCUAGGGUAAAACU